rnacentral:sRNA from 1 species
UCUGUUGAAUUUGUAUAUUGCAGUACAAACACCGAGCUCGUGUUGUUCAGCUCUUCUGCCAUACAAAUAACUUCAGCCAGAACUGAGCACCCAGCAUUCAAGGCGAAUAGUUUGACCAAUAACAACAGGGGCAUUGUUGCGAGAACCUCCUGCACGGAGCAUUUCAAGGACUUCACAAAGGAGCUUCGCUAUCCUUUGACUGAUGACAUUUCUGGGCCUUAAAUGGAUACCAAUGGGUCUAACGAGCUGUGGGACAGGCAAUACUUUCCCCGUGAAAUGCAAACAAGCCGCAGACAGCGGUGGACAUAACUGGCAACAAUGGCGUCUAAUCUCGGCUUAAAACUUACGACAAAACUCCUGGUGAAAACGACACUGGACAAACCGAGUGCGAAACGAGCAAAGUCAGUGGAAAAGUCCCUGGGGAAGAGCUCAUUCAUCGGAGACAACGGGCAAGAUGUGCUGGGCCCAUAAAUUAGCAUCACUUAAGCGGCCAGAUGAGAGUUCCUCCGGGGGGCGUGUAAUCCUUUCAACGAUUAAUUGCAACCCAGCAUCGGCUGACUCCUAAGAUCUCGUUGACUGCGGCCCUGGAAAUGUGAAUAUAAAUGGCUAAAUCAGACUGGGACGUACACAAAUGUCAUGUGGGACAGCUAAUGAUAUCUACAAAUCCCCAAACUCAAUCAAUUGUGGGGAGGAGAGAUAAAAUGGAGCUACACUGAAAAAAAAGAAAAGACAAAUGUAGUUUUCGACUUUGGAUUUAUAUCUUCAUCUUAUUGGCAAAUAAAUUGCUAGAAAUCUUACUUCUUAGUUCUGUAAAUCACAUUCGAUUGAAGGCGGAAUAAAUCGCAUAAAAAUAAGACCAGGAGAA